rnacentral:rRNA from 1 species
GCGAACGGGUGAGUAACGCGUAGGCAACUUACCCCCAGGCGGGGAAUAACCACGGGAAACCGUGGCUAAUACCGCAUAACUGUCCUGCUCCCGCAUGGGAGCAGGAUCAAGGGCUUCGGCCACCUGGGGAUAGGCCUGCGUCGGAUUAGCUAGUUGGUAGGGUAAAGGCCUACCAAGGCAACGAUCCGUAGCUGGUCUGAGAGGAUGAUCAGCCACACUGGCACUGAGACACGGGCCAGACUCCUACGGGAGGCAGCAGUGAGGAAUCUUGCGCAAUGGAGGAAACUCUGACGCAGCCACGCCGCGUGCAGGAAGACACCCCUCAGGGGCGUAAACUGCUUUUAUAUGGGAAGAACACCCUACUCGGUAGGGUCUGACGGUACCAUACGAAUAAGGACCGGCUAACUCCGUGCCAGCAGCCGCGGUAAUACGGAGGGUCCAAGCGUUGUCCGGAAUCACUGGGUGUAAAGGGUGUGUAGGCGGGCCUGCAAGUCAGAGGUGAAAGCCCCCGGCCUAACCGGGGAAUUGCCUUUGAGAC